GGGGGUGUAGCUUGGUGGCAGAGUGCUUACCUAGCUUGUGUGAGGCUCUGGGAUUGAUCCCCAGCACCACCA
rnacentral:tRNA from 1 species